rnacentral:rRNA from 1 species
UACGGGGGGGGCAAGCGUUGUUCGGAAUUACUGGGCGUAAGGGGCUCGUAGGCGGCCAACUAAGUCAGACGUGAAAUCCCUCGGCUUAGCCGGGGAACUGCGUCUGAUACUGGAUGGCUUGAGAUUGGGAGAGGGAUGCGGAAUUCCAGGUGUAGCGGUGAAAUGCGUAGAUAUCUGGAGGAACACCGGUGGCGAAGGCGACAUCCUGGACCAACACUGACGCUGAGGAGCGAAAGCCAGGGGAGCAAAUGGG